rnacentral:rRNA from 1 species
AGAGUUUGAUCCUGGCUCAGGAUGAACGCUGGCGGCGUGCCUAAUACAUGCAAGUCGAACGAGGUGCUUUUGUAGCAAUACGAGAGUAUCCUAGUGGCGAACGGGUGAGUAACGCGUUGGUGACCUACCCCAAAGUGUGGGAUAACAGUCCGAAAGGACUGCUAAUACCGCAUGUGGUCAUUGGCUUUAGAAACCGAUGACUAAAGGAGCAAUUCGCUUUGGGAGGGACCUGCGUCCCAUCAGCUAGUUGGUGAGGUAAUGGCUCACCAAGGCGACGACGGGUAGGGGACCUGAGAGGGUGACCCCCCACAAUGGAACUGAAACACGGUCCAUACACCUACGGGUGGCAGCAGUAGGGAAUAUUGCACAAUGGGCGAAAGCCUGAUGCAGCAACGCCGCGUGUGUGAUGAAGGCCUUCGGGUCGUAAAGCACUUUUCUGGGAGAUGAGAAAGGACAGUAUCCCAGGAAUAAGUCUCGGCUAACUACGUGCCAGCAGCCGCGGUAAUUC